rnacentral:pre_miRNA from 1 species
UUAACUCAGAUUUGUAUGGAGUUGGGACGUUUGCGUACGUUUGCCGCUAGGGGCGCUGUUCCAACUGCAUACAAAAUUGGGCUA